rnacentral:rRNA from 1 species
GAUGAACGCUGGCGGCGUGCUUAACACAUGCAAGUCGAACGAUGAAGCCCAGCUUGCUGGGUGGAUUAGUGGCGAACGGGUGAGUAACACGUGAGUAACCUGCCCUUAACUCUGGGAUAAGCCUGGGAAACUGGGUCUAAUACCGGAUAGGAGCGUCCACCGCAUGGUGGGUGUUGGAAAGAUUUAUCGGUUUUGGAUGGACUCGCGGCCUAUCAGCUUGUUGGUGAGGUAAUGGCUCACCAAGGCGACGACGGGUAGCCGGCCUGAGAGGGUGAACGGCCACACUGGGACUGAGACACGGCCCAGACUCCAACCGGAGGCAGCAGUGGGGAAUAUUGCACAACGGGCGCAAGCCUGAGGCAGCGACGCCGCGUGAGGGAUGACGGCCUUCGAGUUGUAAACCUCUGUCAGUAGGAAAGAAGCGAGAGUGACGGUACCUGCAGAAGAAGCACCGGCUAACUACGUG